rnacentral:sRNA from 1 species
GAUGUAUGACCUUCUACUAAAACCACCCACGUCCUGUGGGUAGCGCAGAAGGCACCACAUCCUGUGGA